CAAUGCUAUCAACAGCAACUGUGGCUAGCCUCAACAGAGCCAGCCCUGCUCAAGCCAGCAUGGUUGCACCAUUCACUGGUCUCAAGUCCACCUCUGCUUUCCCAGUCACCCGCAAGACCAACACUGACAUCACCACUUUGGCUAACAAUGGCGGCAGAGUCCAGUGCAUGCAGGUCUUUUAGUCUUUCAAACCCUUUCUCUAAUUCUCUACAUAGCUAAAAGAAUUUGAUAAACACAAUUAUAAUCAUAAUAAUCUUCAAAAUCUUUUAGAAAAUAUUAGGAAACAAAAUCUUCUCGAUCAGAUUCAAAAGAAAAGGAAAAGAGAAACCAGUUCAUCGUAAUAUUAGGGUCUGUCUGUCAUUUAUCUUCUAUCCUAAUUAACCUAAUUAGCUAAAGACUGGAAUUCUUUAAGAAAAUAAAUACAUUAGCUUAAUGAUAUUAACCAGUUUGAAUGUGGUACUGUGAAUGUAGGUAUGGCCUCCACUUGGGAAGAAGAAGUUCGAGACUCUCUCAUACCUUCCUGACCUUACCCGUGAGCAAUUGGCUAAGGAAGUCGAAUACCUUCUCCGCAAGGGAUGGGUUCCUUGCCUAGAGUUCGAGUUGGAGGUGAUUAUUUCAAUUCCAUUAGUAUUCUCCACCCUUGAAUUAAUAAUUCAGAGAUAGAAUCUUCAUUUUGUUUUCUAAAUCAUACCCUUUUUCUAACUAGUUAUAUAAUUUUGUGAUGGC
rnacentral:lncRNA from 1 species